rnacentral:rRNA from 1 species
GACAGAGGGUGCAAACGUUGUUCGGAAUUACUGGGCGUAAAGCGUGUGUAGGCGGUCCGAUAAGUCGGGUGUGAAAGCCCUGGGCUCAACCCAGGAAGUGCACUCGAAACUGCCGGGCUAGAGUAUCGGAGAGGUUGGUGGAAUUCUCGGUGUAGAGGUGAAAUUCGUAGAUAUCGAGAGGAACACCGGUGGCGAAGGCGGCCAACUGGACGAAUACUGACGCUGAGGCGCGAAAGCCAGGGGAGCAAACGGG